AAAUCCCACACAUAGAACUGUUAGCAAGCAGCAGGGGUGUGAUGUGGAUUCCCAUGGUACUUUUUACCCACUUAAAUAUCAUACGUCAAUGUCUAUAGACCAACAGAUCCAGAACAUGCUUUCAAAUCAAUGCAGUGGCACCUCGCCUACUUCCAUGUAACUACUAAUGAUUUCUGCCACAGGAUAUACAGUAUAGCUGUGGUGAGCCACUCCACAUCUGCAGAACUUCCAGGUGUUAAACAGGGUACUUCAGCAGCCCAGAGGUGCCUCCUGAGAGCAGCUCGGGAGGGGGGCGAGAGGAGGAGGGGUGGGACCUGUCACCUUCUGGACUUUCCACUGUCUGUGGGUGUGAUACAUGGUGGCUUCUUCAUGGGAGAUGGCCCACGGCCCAUCAUCCCAGCAAGAGGGAAGGCUGGGAUCCUCCAGAAACUCAUUCAUUAGCUACUACAUUGCUUUCUUCAUCUUUCUUGAUCUAUGGACUCUAGAAAAGUAGUAUCUACCCACACAAAAGAUCCUAUCCAAUAUUUACAGGCUUGACAUGACAUGAGAAUGUGCAGAGCACUGUACGGUUUCCACGUCCUCAUAACUUUUUGUUGUUGACAAAUCCUAUGCAGAAUUGUGCCCAUAACAGUAUAUAGACAACAGUUUCAUGGAUGGAAAUCAAAUUUUAUCAUUUGUCUGUUUAGUGUUCGAGAUUCCCUUCCCUCGUUAUUGGUUGUUAUGCAACUGUUUUGUACACAGAUGUGGUGCCCGUCGGCACUGACUAGACUUUCGUUGUCCCCACGGAGGGGUAGUUAUCAUGGUUCCAUGGUAUAUGCACAUGCCAUGCAUUUUCUUCUCUGGUUUUGUAAAUACAGUUGGAGACAGGAUACUAUUGAUACACCACCAGAUCACUUGUUUAUGUGUUUGUAUUUUUGCAAAUUUGUACCAAAAUGUGAGAGCCGGGGAGGGAAACAAUAAUUGAUUGCAAUAAAUCACAAUGAAGACA